rnacentral:lncRNA from 1 species
GGGGGAGGGGGCCCUGAUAGAGAGGAGGUGGGGGCGGUCCCGGGGAGGCAGUCAGACCCCUGCCCUCGUCCCUCCUACUGAGGGCUCACUCUACCUCCUCCCCACCCCCAAGCUUCGCUUGCCAGCGCCAGCCGCUCCCUGUGGCGCCUCCAGCCCGUUACCCCGUGGCGCCGUUACCUCCGCUGCUGGGGCGGGAGCCCGGCCCCAGGCGGCCCCGCAUCCUUCCGCCCAGGCCCACGAGCUGUGCCUCCCAUCUCCUAGCUCGGGACCCCGCGCGGGGAGAGGCGCCAGUUGGGGGUCCGGUCGGCCACGCCACCUACGCCGGGACGGCUGCCUCCGCGGCGCGACGCUCCCACGGACUUAGCUGGGAUGCAGAAUAGAAGCUGGGCCUUUGUCUGACUACCCUGCAACAGUCAGCCACAGACGGGAAGGCAGCGCAGGAAACUGAGGCCAAAGGAGCCGCGCUUCCUCAUGAGCAUGAAGCGGCAAAGCCUGAACUAGAAGCUUCUAACGCCUAACCGUCCUCUUGCCGCACCAGGACCUACCUCUGCAAGGCCCUUCCUGACUUUUUCCUUAGAAUGUGUGUAUAUGUGUCUUUUUCCUUUUCUGAUGCUAAGACACCUCAGAAACACCAAUGUUAAGCAGAUUUCCAUCGUUGGAGGUUAAAACACCCGAAUACAAGUGUUUUCUUGAGUGUGGCAUCUGGUCAGAUGUUUUAUGGGUUGGUUUGUUUUUAAAAAAAAAAAAUUUCCUGUUAGAUGGGUGGUAAGAACCAGUCAGAGUUUGUAAACCCACCAAGCACGAGGCGGUCGGACCGUCCAGAUUCUGGAGUCCAGAAGACACCAAACGUUCUCAGAAUGCCGAACGCGGGCGCCACCUGGUGGGACUAGAACGCUUAUUGUCCCAAAUCAGCAUAGCACACAGUUCCCAUAAAUCUUAAAAAUUCCCAUCCAAGGCUCAUUUCCGUGUGACUAAAAGUCAUAUUCUCUGUUCUCGUGACUCCAAGUAAAAAUGUCCCUAAAGAGCCAAAGUAUCUUCACUGUAUAAACUAAUAAUCUAUUGGUUUGGGGAAUUUUAUUUUUUGUGAUCAAUGUUACUUUAGCCUUUCUAUGAUAUACAUAUAAAUAAAAAAGUUUUCUUCCAUGA